rnacentral:piRNA from 1 species
UAGUAAUUAAGGUUGGAAUGAAAGAGUG